AUUUGGCCCACGAUGCAACAGCCUCCUUUCUCGGUGCACGUGAAGUCUCGGGGCCUCACCACGGCGAGCAAAAGCGCAGCUGAAGGUGGCCCAUCCCAGUGCUGGACGUUUGUUAAAGUGAACAGGUGCCCGUCAUUCUUCAGACAUCGCCGGUGCCAAGGCAGUAGGAUUGCUGCCUCUCUCUGAUGGGAAACUGUUGCUCAUGUGCUGGGUUGGCUGCCAAGUUUUGGCAUUAUUGCACUCUCGCUGUUUCUGUUUCUCUCACUCUCUUCGUCUUUCCCUCUUGUCUCAUCCCCGUUCUCCCCCCUCCUCCCUCCCAUCCCUGCUCUCUGUCUCUGUCUUUUCAUGCUGUAGAUCAGACGACCAUCCUGAGGUGAGCCGGCGGAGAUCCGAUGCCACUGGAGCACUUUGAUUACCCACCAGACUGAAUGACUGUUGGAUUUCUCACAGCUUGUGUACUUCUUUGGCAUUGCUCCCAAACCUCGACUGUAACUCUCCUUCACACACACAUUAGCACACACACACACACACACACACACACACACACACACACAAACACACCACACUAUAGUAAAUGAAAGAAGAUUUGCUGUUGUACUCCAGAAGCUUAGCUAACAGUCUAAGCCUGACUUUAGUGCUCCUACGGGUGCAACGAUCAAAUCAGCACUUAUGGGUCCCUCUUUA